GCGCUCAUAACUCAGUUGGUAGAGUAGCUGCCUUUUAAGCAGCGAGUCGUGGGUUCGAGUCCCGCUGAGCGCA
rnacentral:tRNA from 1 species